rnacentral:misc_RNA from 1 species
ACCCUUGUGGAGGAGGACGCCGAAGGUGGGGCUAAUGACUGGGGUGAAGUCGUAACAAGGUAGCCGUACCGGAAGGUGCGGCUGGAUCACCUCCUAACAGGGAGACAACAAAAUGUUUAAUAUUAUUAUUUUGUCACCUUAGGUCGAUCGGUAUCUCACGUUCUUAAUUUAUUAAGAAUUUCAUUUCCUAAGUUUUUCUAGGUCACACCCAUUAUUUUUCCUGGGCCAUUAGCUCAGGUGGUUAGAGCGCACCCCUGAUAAGGGUGAGGUCCCUGGUUCAAGUCCAGGAUGGCCCAUAUCUCUAUGUUGGGGGUAUAGCUCAGUUGGUAGAGCGCCUGCUUUGCAAGCAGGAUGUCAGCGGUUCGAGUCCGCUUACCUCCACUGAUUACCACCUCUUCCAUAAUUUGAAGAAAGGAAUUUUUUUGAGUUGUGAUCAAAUUCUGAACGAAUCUAGCUUCCUAAUGAAUUCAUUAAGAUGCUGGACUCAUUGAAUUAAUUUUCAUUGUUUUCAGAGAACCUUGACAACUGCAUAGAUUAUUUUUAAAGACAAUAAGCAUCUUUAAUGAUGCAGAUUUAUUAUUUGUGCGAAUGCAUUAAUAACAAUUCUAUUAAGCUGAUGCUUCAAUUUAAUGAAGUUAUUGGUCAAGCUACAAAGGGCUCACGGAGGAUACCUAGGCACACAGAG